UGAAUAUGUGUCGUGCGAGCCUGUGUUUCUGGAGGUCUGCGCAACUGUAUGCGAUGGGGGAGGGCGGGGCUGGGAUUCCAAGAGUUCUGUUCAAACCUAACUCUUAACCUCUAGGAUGGUUCUUCAGGCCAAGAGGCGCCGGUUUGGUGACUGAGCUCGGAGACAGUGGUCUCACCGCUUGGGCUCUGUUCAUUUAUCCCUCACCCACAAAAUGCUCCCAAAGAAGGUAAACAAGAAAGAGUCUGCCCAAAGGCUCUGAAUACCUUUCACUGGCCAGUCGUAUGGGAACCUGAGUACUGCGAGGCUCGGAGCAGAGACCAACACCGGUCGGUGCACCGAGUGGCUCUGAGCUACUGGGGAACGGGGCCCUGUUUUUGUCUGAACGUUUUGUAAGGAUUAAGCUGAUCCAAGCUUCUGAAGGCUGCGCUAAGGUUCAAACAGGCAUAAAGUGCGACCCCAAGUGGCCACGGUGCGCAAAGGCGCCCUGAACUGGUUGGUUCGGUGCCGGCAGGCUUGGACGGCGCUUCGGACCCAUACUGGUCUUACUAAUUCACCCGGCCAAGCCAGGUCUGAACACAGGCUGUGUGCACCCUGGGAUCCUGGACAGACUCCCCAGGAACUAUGCAUAGAUCGUGCGAUCCCAUCUUCGAACUCAACCACGAGUUCUUCCCGGUUGCUGUCUUUGAAAUGCCAUACCCAAGCCCUCGGGGUGUGCUUGUGGGCUACUCCCCUCUAGGGAAGGUCCCGAGCUGGAAAGAUCAGUGCCCUAAAAUGAAAACGCCAGGUGGAGAGGCUCCAGGGCUACCCGGUGAGAAACCUCUCUGGAGCGCAGACGGGGAGGUGGGAGGCGGGAACGCAGAACGCUAGACUCUCAGAAGGGGCUGUAGAGCGCCAACGGAGCCUCCUUACCCUGGGCCAGAAAGGCAGGAAAUAUGGGACUUUUCUGAGAUCCCCCUCCCCGACCCCGAUAUCAAAAGCGAAUAGAUGUCUUAUUCGCUGGAUCCGGAGACCGGACCCGCCUCCCGCGUCGCUUUCUGGCUUCCCAUCUCAAGACGCGGAAAGAAAAGCGGCCGAAAGCGUGCUAGGUGAGUGUGUCCUGGCUGCCGGGCUGCGCAGGACCGCCAGCCAACACUGCGCACGGGGGUCGGGUGGCCCGCGUCAAUGACAACCUGUAACAGAAAGAAAAAUAUGACUCCGAUAAAUAAGAAAAACCCUUUCUCUAUGGUCCUUAGGAAAGAUAGGGCAGACAGUGGUCUCAGGAGUCUGUUUUUAACAAAGUGAACGUAUUUGAACUAAAACUUGACCUAAAAUUUUUAGAUCACUGAAUGGCUGAGAAAAUCUCAAACCCUUGGAGAAGUGAACUCUUGGCAGAAAUGAUUCGGCCGCCUAGGCAGAGAGCCUGCCUGGGCCGUUCGCCCCAACCUCUGGCAGAUGAAGAUGGGCGCUAGGGACCCACUUGCCUUGUCCCAGCCGCGGUCGCAGGAGGAGAGCGAGGAGAGCGCACGCUCGAACCUCAGCUCGGCAAUGGGACGUUUUAAGGACAUUUCGGGUUUAGAGUUCCAGGUCUCUGCAAACAGCGGUUCCAGCCUCUACCACCACAGGCAGACUCUCUAAACACCCACCGGGCUCCAGCGUUAGCUCCCUCCCUUAGCCAUCUGAGACGCAGCAUUUCUCGAGUGCGUGCCUCACUGCACACCCUCCCCGGAGUACCGCGGAGUUCAGCAGAGCUGUGCUUGUUCCCCGAGAGUCUCCGUCACCACUGAGGACUGAAACCCACUUCUCAAGAACGUGGCCCUUGAAGAGGACUCUUGCAGCCACAGACCAGUAGUUGCAAAAUCCCAGUAGAUGCGCUGCCCUCUCUGGGUUUGGAUUACUCGGCCUUUGUCCUGGCAGUUUUGCCCCUCUUUGUCCCUGUGACUACCUCUCUGUUGGAGCCACUAUCUUCCUCUGGUCCUUAGCUGAGUUAUCUCGCGGCUUCUAUGCUCACCCCCCCCCAAAACCCGUUUCUUUGCUUCUACCCGAGAGAGAGAGAGAGAGAGAGAGAGAGAGAGAGAGAGAGAGAGAGAGAGAUCUCGUGGGUGGAAGGGUAGAAAGGUUGCCCCAAGUGAAGACCUUUGCUCACAGCCUAUUCUAUUUCAUGGUCCAGCCUCCCCCAUUCUAAUUCCUGAUGUGCUCUGCUGCAGGGUCUCGGAACUGGAACUCCUGGGCUAAUACGUUUAUCUCCCAACUGCCACCACGCUCUCGGUAUCCUUGUGCGGGAUUCUUCCCGGUCCUGGGUAUCACUGCAGGACGGGACAAACCCCAACCCUGAAAGACAGGAGAGAUGGAGAGGGUGCUGGUGCGCAUUUUGACUGGGAGCUUGAUUGGAAUGUUGGAAGCGGAGAGAGAAGCAAUGGGAAAGAGGCCGGAGACCCAAGCAACCUCCAGCGAGCCCAAGAAAAGCCGGGAUUGCCAGCGGCUAGAGCCCCUAUACGGAGCAGUUUUCUAUCUAGCGCUUCGAUUUAUCUUUGAGAUUGUUUUACUCCAAAGCGAACCCGGUUGCAUCGUCCUGGAAUUCCUUAACUUCACCGCAGUGAUACAGGGACGCUGAGGGGCCUUGGGGCACUUCUGUUCUAGGGGAAGAAAUUGCUCCCCAAGACGUUGAAGAGCACGAGGCAGAACGUGAGGUUAUCUCGGUGCUGCCCUCGUGGCAUCUCCGCCACGCCAUCGGGGUAACCUGAUAGAUACCCAGUGGCGCGCCUUCGUGCCUGCGCUUCCAGACUUGGGCGGCGCCCUGGCACUUGCGUUCAGCGCUGAGGUGCGCGGUUCACCCAGGUUUACCAGAGGGAGGACUGCAGGUGCUUAGUGAGCGAGUAGGCGGAACUGUGAGUGUAGGAGUAGGGUUUAUGGCACGCGGGAGGAGUGUGCCCGUGUGCAGUGUGAGUACUGGGUAGGGAACCGCAGCUGUCUACGUGUAGGGGUUGGAGACUCGCAACCCUCGCAGCCCCCCUAGAGAGCAGGAUCCUACUAUCCGAGAUUGCCGAGCAGAAGCCCUUAAAUUCAAGGGUCACAGGGCUUGAGUUCUACAGGGAAGAGACUAGCGUUUGGAAAGAAAGCCUACAGAAGCCUGCCUUCGGACGCUUUGUCACCCACACUUCUCUUGCAAGAAGCCUGGAGUUCUGCGCUGCCUUCACGGGACCCUAAAGGAAGAAGAUGCCCUGUUGCCAACACUCCCUGAAAACCUCCGGAAGUCUAUGGCUUCCAAGAGGCGAGUGGGGGGAGGGGGCGAGGGCCUCGAGGUCGUUCCACCCUACCUCUUCCUCCGACAGCAGCUACUACUUCCACUUAGUCUGGUUGGCCACAUACAACCGCCGUCAGAAUCCAAACCAGCGCUUUCAAGGUUUUGUACUAUGAUAGGUCCUGGUACUCCUGUAGCAACCAUAGUUAUAUCAUCUGCCAGUCGAAGAUGGAGAACCCCUCCCGCGCUAAGCAGAGCAGGGAUCUGUACUACAAAAGAAAUGUCCAUUUUCCUUCGCUUUAGUUUAGUGUGUCUGAGAGAAAAUUGUAGAAUACACACCAGGCUCACAUUCCAUAACCCACUGGGUAGUAUGGCCUCAAAGAGAUGUUUCUCGAAAACAUUCACCUCCACCCACUCAGGAAUUUGAAAUAACUUUUGCUGGAUUCUGAUUCUCACAUUUCUCACGGAGCAGCAGCUCUUGUUAUUCCUACUUUGCACAGAUUGGCAGGCAGGUAGCUGGGGAUACACAUCAGAGUCCUAAGAGCUUCUUGUUCCUCCAUCAGCCCACCUAUAGAGGUCUCUGUAGUGGGCAAGGUCAUCACUAGCUCACCCAAAGACAGAGGGAGAGACUCUCAGAGGUUACGUGAUUCAUUUCAAUUUACACAGAAGUGAUAAACCAGAACCUCUGACUUUCAGAAUCCUGUGCAGUGGGGGAAGGGUUCCUCUACCAUGAGUAGACAGCACCCCCCACCCCCCAGGGAUGCAGGUGCCUGUAUGGGUCUUCUCCGGCUGUUGUCUCUUUGGGGAUUUCCAACUCUCUGAGAGACCAGUGGCUAUUCUGGUCACUGCUGAGCCUCUUCCCAAUUCUAAGGGAAGUGUCUGACUGCUUUUUUGUGGAUGCCACAUGAACCCCUUGGUUCCCCCUCUUCCCUGAUUGUGUGGGGACAGCAAAAAACCACCGUGAACUGCCAGCCAAAGGAAAGGUUUACCGUCUUGCCAUCCUGUCCCUCACCCUUGGCCUGCUGACCACGGAGGUUGGCUCUGAGUCUCAGUCCUGACUUUGGUGGCCCUGCCUGUGUCCUGAGUUUGACCUUAAGUACCAGUCAAAUCUCUCUUAAACAGCUGAGAAAGAAGGAGACAGAGAAUAAAGAGGGAGAGGCUUGGGAGAUAGAAGGAAAGGGAGAAGGAGAAGAGGAAGAGAAGGGUCAGAGAAAGACGAGGGGAGGGAGAAAGAAGAAAGAAGGGAAAAGAAGGGGGAUGUGGCUUGUGGUCACAUAGAUGGAGCUGACACUGCUAACGGCCACAGCUGGGCGAAGGCUCGCCAGUGCCAGCCAGUGCCACUCCCUGUUCACCACACCUGAGGGCCACCCAAGGUCAUCAUUACAGACACUGAAACCACAUCCUGGCUUUCACCUCUCACGGCCUGACCAAAACUGCGGUCUCCCUCCACCUCCGGCCUCCAGUUCCCCACCUGGCACCCACCCCCCUCAUCCAAGCUAUCCUCAUCCACGGCUUAAAAGACAGCAGAGGCUUUGGCUAUGGACUGAUUGACUUUUGCUAUUUCACGGAGUUAGUCAGUCUUGCUCUAAGAGACCGGUCAUUCUAGCUCCGGAGCUCUACUCCCUUACAGGACUGCAUGUGAUGUCUCCCACCAGACCCUAAUUGUCCUUUACGCCCCCAUUAAUGGUCCAGGCAUACCCAUUCUUUUAAGUUUCUCCGCCUACUAAGCUGCUUUCAGCCAUGGGUCUCUGCACAUGAUACCACCCUCUACCCAGAAUGACUUGGCUGCUUGCCUCCGAAGGACUUAGAAAAGGUAGGAUGGGGGAUCUUCCCAGGCUUCAGGAGGACUUCGGUUGUAGCUGGGUUUGGGGGUCAGAAGACAUCCACAGCAUUCUAGGAAAACUCCAUUCCAUGUUGUCAGACAACAGGGCUCAGGCCUCUCUGCCCCUCCUUUCUGCCAGGUGGAUCAGGGAGACCUCAGGUUUGAGAAAAGCCUUAGGAAACAAUACUGGGGAGGCCAAAUGCGGUUUGAUCAGUCAGUCCAAAUUAUUUUCACUUGAGAAAAUGCAUUGAAAACACAGAGUAUUCAACCACACAGGUUAUGGAAACACAUUUGGAGAAACUACACGAGAUGACCUUGAGCUCCUGGGGGCUGUUUCUGGGUUCCCAGUAGCCAGCAUAAUACCCACAGCAGGAGGUAUCCAAUUAUAGUUAUGCAAUAAAUGAAUGAGUGAGUGGAUGAAGGAAUUGGUAAACUCGGAGACUUGCUUACUGUUCAGUAUCUCUGAACCCUCAGACCUCUCCUGCAUGCCCCAGUACCUUCCUCCCCCUUGUUAUCAUUCAUCCCUAAUCAAAGCCUCAUUCCUUCCUCCCAACAUUCACAGACUAACCCAAGGAAUGGGGUGAUUUGGUACCCCAAGCCCACUUGCCUGGAUGCUCCUCCAGCUGGGGAGCCGAUUUCUAGCUACUGAGGAAGUGAAUAGCACCUUCCAUCGCAGAAGGCUGAUAAAAAUGGUGCUGAUGCUGGACUGUGAUGAAGCCCAGGCUGCGGUCAGGCAGGCACUGCAAUGACCACUCUGGUUCUUUUUCCCUUUAUAGAUGCACAAGACCAGGUUCUUGGAGUAAAAUAUGCAACAAUGUUUCUUGUAGCAUCUCUGUCUCCAGCCUCAGCUAGCUUGUUUUAUUUAGUGACCUCCAUGUCAUAUACCUACAUCUGCUUCUUUCUUUUUAAUGUAUGUGCAGAAUUCUGCCCAAUGGAUGCCCUGUCAUUUUUCUUUUUAUUCUUCUUUUUUAAAAGAGCAAGUCCCAUAUUGAUGGGCAUUUAAGCUGUUUCUGAGCUUCUCUGUUGCAAACGACGCUGCCACCAACAGCUUUUAUGCAUGUGUCUUUUAACACAUGUGCAAGCAUUUCUCUUCAAAGCAAGGAGAGGGAUUGCUAGAUUGAAAGAUAGGUGUAUUAUCAAUGUUAAUAUUGUCAAAUUAGCCUCCAACAAGAUUGUACCUAUUUAAUUUCCCAUCUAGAAGCUAGGAUGGAAAUCCAUCAACAAUGGAUUUUUAUCAAGGUUUUUCAUUUUUAUGUCAAUUCUGCAAGCAUUGCUGGGAAGCGAGGGCUCCUCCAUCCAGGAAAUUGCAGGCCUUGCAUUGCAGCUGGGAAGGUGCUGUGGAGACCUGGUCACAGUACAUUCAUAGUGCCAUCAGGGCUCAAGAAAAUGACUGCUAGAAGGGGCCGAGAAGGCUGAAGAGAGGAGGUGAGACUUGCCUGGGGCUUUGGAGGUGCAGAAAUUUAUCAAACACAGAAGCAAGAAGACUUGACAGAGUCAUCCAAGCAAGGGCCCUGUCUCCUGGGCCCCUGGGUGCAGCUGUUCAGGAGACAGAGCCACAAAGCUCUGUAAGAGCAAGCACUCCAGUGGCCAAGGAACUGGAGCUCUAUCCCACUCUAUCCCAGGAGCCAACAAACCAUCUCCACAGGCGCAGGCAUCCUUUUCAUUCACUGUGGGGGCACACAGUAGGUGCUUAACAGACAUUUAUGGAAAGACAAACGGUAUUUAAACAGUAUGCUUCCUUCUCUUCCAUCUCUUCCAUCUUUCAGGGACAGAACUGGGAAGCUGCUUGCUUUCUAAACACUGGAGAGACAGUAGAGACAAUCCAGCCUGGGAACCCCCUCCUGGGUCUCAGCCCCCAUCCCGGCCUUGUGCCAGAUCCUUUCACCUCUGCCUGUUAGAGAUUGCUUUUGGUUUCUGUGUUGACAACCCUUGUUUCUGUGUUUAGAGCGGCUGUUCAGUGCCAUUUCCUGAUUUAAUAUCGGUCCCGGCACAGAGCGAGGAUGCACAGUUAGCAGAUUUUGCUCCAAGUAUUUUUCAAGCUCCCUUUUGAUGUAAGGGUUGGGUUUUCAGCUUCCCUGAUCUCGACAGGCAUGCAGGGGGGAGGGGCUGAGGGAAGAAGGAGUUGAGAACAGGAGAUGGAGGGGAGGGAACCAGGACCCUGAGGACCCCUGGCAGAGCCAUCCACACAGAGAGCUUAGCCAACACAAGGAGCAAGCAGAAGAGUCUGAAGCAAGACUGCCACUACCCACUGUGUGACCAGGAAGGGGGACAUAGCUGUCUCUGAAAUAAACAAAAGGCUCAAAUAAAGUAGCACGGCGCAACUCAAAACACCAGGAGGCAAAACCAAAUUAACCUAGGUCCCAACAGCACUGGGUUUUGUGUGAUUUUGUUGGAAUGUCUACUGGACCCAAAGACUUCUGUGAGAUUAGAAGAAAGAAUAGACUAAACACUUCUCGCUCUUCUAUUAGGAACUAGUGUUCUGUUAGUGCAAAAAAAAAAAAAAUAGAAAACUUAAAAAGUGGCAACUGAUACAUGUACAGUGGAGGCAGGGGGCUCACAGACCCACAAUUGAGGACAGAACUCAAGAAGAGACCAACAUUUCCUGACACUGACACCCCAUCAGUAUUUCCUGAUGCCUCCUACAGUAUCCCUAACAGCAUCCCCAUCAGCAUCCCCAUCAACAUCCCCAUCAGCAUCCCUAGCAGCAUCCCCAUCAGCACCCAUAAAGCUACUAGGUUUCAUUUCUCCCUCUUCAAACACUCAUUUGCAGGAUUCUCCCUCUGAGACCUUCUGUGUCGAUUUAGGUCUUCUAAGAAGCAAACAGAAGAUUUAUUAGAGUAUCACUGGGAAGGAGGAAGGAAGGGGGAGCAGGAUGUGCCGGGAGGUCACAGACACCUGUGAAAAGAACAAGAAGGAAGGAGCUGAAGUUUUAGCCUGAGCUGGAGAAGUUACAAGCUCCUGGGGAUAUGGAGGCUCCCUAUCUCAUGGGAGUGAACCAGCUCCCACAUCAGUGCUGGAUUAGGGGCUGGAAGCAGCCAGAAGUACAGCCAAGGGUCAGACACAAGCAUGGGAAUGCCAGGGCAGGGAUUAUCCAUCCACAGUGCUUCUACAAUAAUUGCUGUGAAGGAGACCUCAGCCAGGCCCUUCCUGGCUAUCCCAUCCCCUGUCUUCCACUGGUUCAAGGCAGAUUUUUCCAAGUACUUACUCAUAGCAAGCAUGCAAGGGAUGACAUACAUUUAGUAUUUCUUAUCUCAUUCAAUCUUCCCCAGUAACCUUGUAGAGAGGCGUUGUGAUCAUGGUUACCUCCAUGUCAUAAACAAGGAGCUAAAGUUCACAUCGACCGAAUCACUUGCCAGAGGCCACAGCUACCAAGCGGUUCAGCUUGGACCCAAAGUCCCUUUGACUCUAGCCAUUGCUCUAAAUAGCUUUUACCGGGAAUAAGUCCAUAAAGGGAAUAUGAGAAGCUCCUUCCCCUCUGUGCACCCACCUCUCCUGUUACUUAAUCGCCUUCUGAUCCCCUUAGGGUCCAUACCCUCCUAUUUCCAGGUUCGUCCGCUAGUCCAUUCCAAGCAGGAGACACAGAAUGUUCGCCAGAAGUAAGCACUGUCCAGCAUCCACGUAUCUGUGUUUUUCCUAAGCACCCUUUCCUCCAGGAAGCCCUCCCUGACUCGCCUAUGUUUCCAUAACCCCUUAUACACAGAGAGCACCAAACUCCGGUUACAUCUGUGUCCAAUGCCGAGCCUAGCUUUUCUAAAACCAAAACUAACUCUAGAUCGAAUGUGGGUGUUCAUAGAGGAAGAUUGGUCCAGGACAACAAAAGGACACCUUCGGAAGUAAACGAGCAAAAUUUGGGCACUGCGCAAGGAACAUUUGGGCGCUGCACAAAGGAGCUGCCUACUGACUGUCCUAGACCAAGGUCAACCACAUCGCUUUUCUUUCACCUUGCCUAGUGUGCUUAAGAGUCUGUCAUGACUCUGGGCAGACCCCAAAUACCCCAGGCCCUGAAUAUCUUCCUCAGAUAUAUGGAAGCCCUCACUUGUUGGAGCCUUCCAGACGAGUUCAUUCUUCCCUUCUGUACUGAAGAAGGGGGUUCUAGCUUCUCUUGGGGGUCACCAUAUCCCAAGGGGUUAUCUAAAAAUACAUCUGAGCACUGAUACUGGCUCCAUUAUACCCUGGCAUGGAAGUGGGUGUUGUCAACGCAGGGGAGCGGGGCAGGGGAGCGGGGCAGGGAGGCGGUAGGAAGAGAAGACUUAAGAGCUCCUGUCUUGACAGCUUUGUUGUAUUUCUCUGUCUAGAAGUUCGGCUUGCAUUCCAUCCAGGCAGUCAGUGGGUGGGGGUGGGGGGGAAAGGAAAUUCACUUCAUGUUUCUCCUGUCUCACCCAGGGGCUCAGAAACACUCCUUUCUCAGACCAAAUUGAGUACCCCACCCCAUCCCCCACAGGGGCCUCCCAGAAGGGACAGUGUCUCCAGAUUGGAGACCACAGUUUCCAGGAUCUCCCCGAGGACCUCGGGGCUGGCUGCCAAUCAGACCUGGAAUCAGCCAUAGUCCAUUAGUGAAUGCCCCGGGUGCAAGGCGCCAACACAGCCCCCCCAGGCAUUGGCGCCAGAGGCUGCCCAGGGAACCCAAAGCCACCUUCAAUCAUUAUCUUGGCUUUUGUCAUUAGACAAACUGGACCAUGGACUAUAGGCUGUUUCCUAGGUGAGCAUCCUUUCCAGCUCCACCCCCCACCCCCCUCCACACACACACAGCUACUCUGAGCUCACAAAAUAACCACCAGCGUUAGGUGUGGGUACAGCCCCCACAGGAGGCCUGGCCUUUUACCGCAUCCCACCCUGCCACUGAGGCAGUGUGGGCUUCUAAGUUGCUAUCCUUCUCGGAGACACUCUUAUCUCCCCUGGAAGAUGGGGCAAUAGCAAGAGGACACACUCAGGCUUGGAUAACCAGGGCUACACGUUAGAGCCUGAAGAACUUGGCUCCCAGAGAGGCUCUGCACCUUUUCUGUGAUUUUUGCUUCAAGUUUGAGGCCCUGGGAGGUGAGGUUAUCAGGCUGAGACACCUAUAGGGGUGGCAAGAGAGGAACUACCUAGAAGACAGGCCAGACAGACCCUGAUGGCUGAAGCCACUCUGGCAGGCUUGAUUGUCCAACCUACUCCACUCCCCCACACCACCCUUUCAACUUGUAAAGAAUCCUGGCUAGAGCAGAUCCAGCAGUGAUGGGAGCAUAGAAGUACAGAAUGUCCAGGCUCAAGUGCCCAAAGCUAGGGACAAUCUGGGGUUCUAAUCCUAACUUAGUGGGACAUUUACUAUGCGAUCUUCAGCGAGUCACUUAACCUCUCUGGGAUUUUGUUCCUUUUUCUGGGUAGGUAAAACCCCACUUAAAUAAAGAUU